GAAUUGCCCCGGCAGAGGCGCAGCCUGGGUGUGUCAUCCAGACCACCACUACAGCCAUCACCACCACAACGCAUAUCCCUUGUCUCAGCCGUGCCCCCACAGCAACUGCUGGACAGUUCGCCACCCAUGUCACCGCAUUCCUCACAGCUGCCUGCAGACACGAAUCUUCUGGAAAGUCAGCUAUGCCAACUGCAGGCAACAGAAAAUGAAGAAACAUAUACCCUCAAUCUAACUGCUAUACCACCGCCAGACCCAACAACCACACAGUUUGUAACUCCGACCACUCACCAGACACCUGAGCAGGACAGAAACCCUACUACACCUAUAGCACAGUCACAAGACCAGGCAUUUUGGGACAGCUGGUCCACCCAGCAAGCUAAUAAUUUAGAUUUUUUGCGUAAGUAAACACACUAUAUUUCCAGUCUUUCCCAUCACGUUCCACGCAUCAGCAGAAGCAACAGCAUACAAACUAAUGAGCUCACCCGAAUGGCAAACACAUUAGAAUUAAUGAGGGCUGACAAUAAUCGCAUGAUCGAUACCUUCCAAAGAGUCAUGGCUGAAAAUCAAAGGCUACAUCAAACCUACAUACAGAUAUUGACUGCAAACCAAACCACACAAGACACCAUGGUCAGAAUCAUGGAGAGCCACACAUCUGCAACUAGAGACUUAAAUUUGACUCUGACUACACUAACCCAGCAUCUCACUCAUCAGGGUGAGCACACAAGUUUGAGUUUCUCUACCACAACCCCCUUGGUGACACCUGUAAAGUCCCCUCCCAGACGUUUGGCCAGAAGUCAGCCAGACACCAGCGGGAAAGGCCCACCCACAUCAAGAGGCUGACCUGUAAAAUAAAUUAACAUAAUCAUGUC